AUGACCAAUCCAAGGGUCUGCUUUUCGCCUUUUCUGUUUGUAAAUCUUCUACCCUGGUUGAAUUCUCUCCGUAUCCAAGCACACUCCUCUGACACUCAGUUGCCACUGCGAGCACGAAUUGUAUCUUGUAUCCUGUGUAUGAUCUGUGCUCUACCUUGGAGUUGCACAUUUCUGAGCCCUUCGAGGACUCACAGUUCUCACAUGGGGGUUUUGUGGCUUGCUCUCCCUGUACAUAAAAUCUGGUCAGUAUGUACACUUGACAUCCAGACCAUCUUUUUGGUCAGUAUGUACAUACUGCAUAAUCUGAACAAUGCUCUGUUUCCAUUUAUUGUGCAUGACUCUAUCCUGGAAUUAUCCAUUUUUGUAUACUUGUCGGAUUUCUACAAGCAUUAUAGAUCUGAUUUAGGAGCUCUGCAAAUCUCACUACAAGGAAAUGGAUCAUAA
rnacentral:rRNA from 1 species